GGCAGGAUGGCGGAGUGGUUAUCGCGCUGGCCUGCUAUAUUUCGAUGAAAUACAACAGAAAAGCCAGUUCCUUCGGGAGCCAGAGUUCGAAUCUCUGUUCUGUCG